rnacentral:rRNA from 1 species
UACGAAGGGGCUAGCGUUGUUCGGAAUUACUGGGCGUAAAGCGCGCGCAGGCGGUUCUUCAAGUCAGUGGUGAAAGCCCGGAGCUCAACUCCGGAACUGCCAUUGAAACUGUGGAACUUGAGGAUGAGAGAGGUGAGUGGAAUUCCCAGUGUAGAGGUGAAAUUCGUAGAUAUUGGGAAGAACACCGGUGGCGAAGGCGGCUCUCUGGACCGACACUGACGCUGAGGC